UAGAGACCUCCAUGUAAACAUAGAUGACGGCAGACAGCAUCUUCUAGAAGCCCAGCGUGAGAAGGAGAAAGAGACUGUUGAUUGGUGGAGUAAGUUUUAUGCUUCUGUUGGGGAGAGUGAGAGAUGCCGCCCAUACCUUGACAAAGGUUAUGACACAUU